rnacentral:rRNA from 1 species
UACAGAGACCUCAAACGUUAUCCGGAUUCAUUGGGCGUAAAGCGUCCGCAGGUGGCAUGAAAAGUUGAUGGUUAAAUUCUGGGGCUUAACUUCAGAACUGCUGUCAAAACUUUCAAGCUCGAGGGUGGGAGAGGUACACGGAACUGCCGGUGUAGUCGUAAUAAGCGCUGAUAUCGGCAGGAACACCAAAGGCGAAGGCAGUGUACUGGAACACACCUGACACUCAUGGACGAAAGCGUGGGUAGCGAAUGGG